CCUACGGGUGGCAGCAGUAGGGAAUAUUGCUCAAUGGGGGAAACCCUGAAGCAGCAACGCCGCGUGGAGGAUGAAGGUUUUCGGAUUGUAAACUCCUUUUGUUAGAGAAGAUAAUGACGGUAUCUAACGAAUAAGCACCGGCUAACUCCGUGCCAGCAGCCGCGGUAAUACGGAGGGUGCAAGCGUUACUCGGAAUCACUGGGCGUAAAGAGCGCGUAGGCGGGAUAGCAAGUCAGAUGUGAAAUCCUAUGGCUUAACCAUAGAACUGCCUUUGAAACUGUUAUUCUAGAGUAUGGGAGAGGUAGGUGGAAUUCCUGGUGUAGGGGUAAAAUGCGUAGAGAUCAAGAGGAACACUCACUGCGAAGGCGACCUGCUAGAACAUAACUGACGCUGAUGCGCGAAAGCGUGUGGAGCAAACAGGAUUAGAUACCCCGGUAGUC
rnacentral:rRNA from 1 species